rnacentral:rRNA from 1 species
GUGGGGAAUAUUGGACAAUGGGCGAAAGCCUGAUCCAGCAAUGCCGCGUGAGUGAUGAAGGCCUUAGGGUUGUAAAGCUCUUUUACCCGGGAAGAUAAUGACUGUACCGGGAGAAUAAGCCCCGGCUAACUCCGUGCCAGCAGCCGCGGUAAUACGGAGGGGGCUAGCGUUGUUCGGAAUUACUGGGCGUAAAGCGCACGUAGGCGGUUUUGUAAGUUAGAGGUGAAAGCCUGGGGCUCAACCCCAGAAUUGCCUUUAAGACUGCAUCACUUGAACGUCGGAGAGGUGAGUGGAAUUCCGAGUGUAGAGGUGAAAUUCGUAGAUAUUCGGAGGAACACCAGUGGCGAAGGCGGCUCACUGGCUCGAUACUGACGCUGAGGUGCGAAAGCGUGGGGAGCAAACAGGAUUAGAAACCCGUGUAGUCC